AAUUCACUGAGCUUUUUCGAGCUCGAUGGCUCAACUUGCUCCAAAAAGUCCAGAGCGAAAUACGUGUAACGAUCUAUGAUGUACACUCCGAUUGCCGGGUCCACGUGGUGCUGAACACACAACAAAAAUUACUUGUCAGGCGUCGCUGAGGUCUUGGCUGGUAAUUUCUUCAGAGUCUUGGAAUUUGAGGAAACCAUUGCCACCAUGGCCAGUGAGAUAAAUCAAAAUAUUGGAACCUUCGUCUGUGAGUAGCUUUUUGGAACGAGGGGUUUCAGGUGGUAGUCGACCGGUGAGGAGACGCACAAAAUUUUCAACGGUCACUUCGUAACCACGGCCAUGUCAUCGGCUAUCAUGAGAAUUAUUUGGGAAUCUGGUAUUCCAAGCCUCUUGACACUCCGAUAAAUUGACAGCACAUUUGCGACAUGUCGAUAAUUGAACCAAAAUCUUGAAGUAUCCACAAGCACGGCCCAAUUGUUUGAGUGUCCAGUUUUACCAAAAUUUUCAGGUUUAAAACCUGCUUGGAGGAAAAACAAAAUUCUCCUUUAUAGUCUCCCAAUAAAAACUUCAAUGUUAAGGUGAGGUAUUUUGCAAGAAAAUUCAACAUCGUUGCGUUACAAAAAGUUUUACAAUAUCGAAAUUAAGUCACCGAAUAACGAUAAUCGGAGAAUUGAUUAAUUAUUUCGUGUUAGUAAACUCACCUCCCAAGCGUUGAAUAGGCCGAACAAUGAGCAUAAAAGCAGCAGCAAAGUGUUGAGAUACAUUUUGACAAAAUUCUUUUUCUUUCCAAAAUGAAUUUAAUUCAUAACUCAAGCGUUUUUUAUUCGUUAGAGGCUGUUCAAUUGCUAGCUGUUUUUUUUUAAAUUUUAUUUACACACCAGCCCACUUAACCUAAAAUAACGCUGAUCAUCUGUGUUUUAAUACUAAGCACUCUGCACUGACAAACUGUCACUGACGCUACUGACGCGUCUCUACUAACAAUGCUUAAAAAAGCUUAGAUUUGAUAGCCUUUUAUUCUUACGCCGAGGUUGUUUAUCAGUAGUUUAGUGGAGUAUGGUAUCGUACUUGGGUGCUCCAGCAGAGCUAAUUGAUCGGAAAAUUCAUAUUGAAAUAUUGCCUACAAGCGGUAAAUCUGCACAGCAUAUCGAUCCGAAAAAUGGAGUCGAAUUUUUUGUAUUUGGUGAUCACUUUAUUAUUCCAAAAUAAAAUUCUGUCAAAAGUUU